UUUGGAUAAUCUUUAGUUAACAGGGACUUACCUAUCUCAUCAACUGGCUUUACCAUUGUUAUGCUGGUUGAGUUGAUUUAAAAAUAAUUUCUUAUACUGGAAAAAAAUGACAAAAUAUUUCUCUGAGAAAUAAAGUUUUGAACUAAAUUGAUUUAAUGAAAUUUUCCACUCUGAUAAAGAAAAUACUAUACAAAAGAUUUCUACUUUGUGAUUAUUAUGAACAAUUAUAUAUACAUGUGUAUAGAUAUAAUUUACAAUUAUAUAUGUAUAUACAUUUAUUUAAGACCUCAAAAUGUUUUCUAUAUUGUAAUUACUCCAACCCAACUCUUAGGUGGGACUUCAAAAUAUAAUAAUUAUUGAGAGGAAGACUGUAUUUUAUUCAUCCUUGUAACCUCAGGUCUAAUACUACACAUGGCUCACUAUGGGUUUUCAAUAUAUGUUGAUGGGUGGAUGGAUGAAUUAAUGCAUAGGUGGAUGCAUGGAUAGAUUUAAGGAUGGAUGCAUAGAUGGAUGGGCAUAAGAAAACCUCAUGCCUAGCCCAAGCCAUGUCUUUAAACUUUAGCAUGACAUCUUCAAUGAAUAAUCUCACCUGAUUGUUCUACUGUUUGCUCCACUGCCAGAAUAUUCCGUAAGAGUCUAUAAUAUUCAAUGCCUACUCCCAUUCUAAAAUUCUGCAUAUUUCUUUAGUUAUACCAUUUUUCCCAAUUUAUGACUACAAAACCAUUAUCCACUAGGAUUUCAAUAAAAGGGAAACAAUUUUUAAGAUACGAACAUGUUCAAUAAGUGGCUGAUGUAUCAAAUAUAUAAAACAAAGUAGAUUUCUUUUAUUGAUAGAAGUGAAUUUUAUGGAUUUUCCCAAUUCCCCUUUCUUCCACUAUUGUCAUCUUAUUUCACUGGGAUUAACUUACAAGAAACUAUGAGAGUAGUGGAAUCACUUGCAUGAAUGAUUACUGCUUAUGUAUACUUGAUAAAAAAUAGAACCUGUGUUCAUUGGAUAUCCAAAUGGAAUUUAGAUAUAGCAUUUAACAAACGGCAACAUAAGUUUCAGUUCUUGUUGGACAAUAAAAAUGAGAGAAAACUCCAAGUAGUGAUGUAUAAGCAUGCUACUGUGGUUAAAUUGGAAAACUGUACAUAGUUUCUGUUUGAAUCAAUUUCAGGAAUUCAGGAUGUUAUAAACUGUAUACGAAUACAGAGUCAACAUUUUAAGAAAAGUUGAAACAGGAAUUGCUUGAUAAUCUUGAAAAUAUGCAUGUAUGUAUGUUUGUUUAAUGACUAAAUGUAUACUAUUUGAGAAAGUAAAUAAGGAGGGUAGGGGGCAGAAGCCAGAUUCAGAUUUUUGUGUGAUGAAGAAUGAAUAAAUGAAUGUUUAGGAGUUGAGGAAAUGGAAGAAGUGUUUUCAAGAUGAAUUGUUAUGUACUUAAUAUCGUUUAUUCAUUUAUUGAACAAAUAUUUAUAGAGUGCCUACAAUGUGCCAGAAACUAUUCGAGAUACUACUAUAGAAAUUCUUGCUUUUAAUAUUUAUCUAGAUUCCUUCCAAUAUCCUGACCACUAAAUUACUUUACUUCCUUUCCUUAGACCUCUGCCCAACUUCAGCUAAUCACUCACAUUGUCAUACCCCUGACUUUGUCAUUCCAUACAUUUGUAUACCUCCCAUAAUCUCAUUUUCAGUUACUCUACCUGUUGUUCAUCACUUCCUCCCUUUUUCACCCUAGUUCACUGCCUCGACUGCCCUAACUCUAAAAAUCCUUUGACCCCACUGAAACUUUUUUUUUGUUUGUUUGUUUUUUAUUUGUGAAUUAUUUAUUUUUCCUAUGCAUUACAAUGAAGUCAGUGUAAUUCCUAAAAGUAUUACUUGUUUGCAUGCUGAAAUGCCUUCUUUU
rnacentral:lncRNA from 10 species